GAGAAAGAAAGAUAUAUUAUUGUUGAUUGGUUUAAGUCCCCUUUUUUUUAGUAUUUUUUGCGUACAGAUCUUUUCCUACAAAAUUUAACUUUUAUAAAUUAUCUCUAUAAAAAUCCUAAUGUAUUCAGAUAUGUUAAUAUUCUUUAGAGAAAUCUAGUUAACCACGAUUAAAAUACUUAACCAUAAUCAGUUAAUAAGAUAAAAUAAUAUUUUUACCCUUCUUCCUCUUCCUCAUCCCCUUCCUCUUCUUCCUCCUCUUCCUCUUUCUCUCCUGCUUCUUCUUCUUCCUCUUCUUCUCCGUAUCCUUAUUUUCCUCCUUUUCUCCUUCUUUUUCUUCUUUGUCGUCGUCGUCGUCGUCAUCGAUGAUCCAAUCGCCGUCCCCGUCGUGUGCCCGCGUGGGCCGUCGUCACAGGCGCCUCCAACGGCAUCGGCCGCGCCUUUGCCUUCCGCCUCUUCCUAGUCUU
rnacentral:lncRNA from 1 species